UGCAGCAGCUGGUGUUGUGAAUCAGGCCGUCACCAGUCGGAGAACGGCUACUUCAC
rnacentral:pre_miRNA from 1 species